rnacentral:rRNA from 1 species
GGCCCUAUGGGGCGCAGCAGCCGAGAACCUUUGCAAUGUGCGAAAGCACGACAAGGUUAAUCCGAGUGUCUCCUGCUAAAGGAGUCUUUUGUCAGUUGUAGAAUCACUGGUGAAUAAGGGGUGGGCAAGUUCUGGUGUCAGCCGCCGCGGUAAAACCAGCACCUCGAGUGGUCAGGAGGUUUAUUGGGCCUAAAGCAUCCGUAGCCGGUUGCAUAAGUUUUCGGUUAAAUCUAUGCGNNCUUUAACGUAUAGGCCGCCGAAAAUACUGUGCAGCUAGGGAGUGGGAGAGGUACACGGUACUCGAUAGGAAGGGGUAAAAUCCUUUGAUCUAUUGAAGACCACCUGUGGCGAAAGGGCGGUGUACCAGAACACGUUCGACGGUGAGGGAUGAAAGCUGGGGGAGCAAACCGGAUUAGAUACCCGGUAGUCCCAGCUGUAAACGAUGCAGACUCGGUGAUGCAUUGGCUUGUGGCCAAUGCAGUGCCGCAGGGAAGCCGUUAAGUCUCCGCCUGGGAAGUACGUACGCAAGUAUGAAACUUAAAGGAAUUGGCGGGGGAGCACCACAAGGGGUGAAGCCUGCGGUUCAAUUGGAUUCACGCCGAGAAUCUAGAUGCAU